rnacentral:rRNA from 1 species
UACGUAGGGGGGCUAGCGUUGUCCGGAUUUAUUGGGCGUAAAGAGCGUGUAGGCGGCCAUGUAGGUCCGGUGUGAAAACUCGAGGCUUAACCUCGAGAUGUCAUCGGAAACCAUUUGGCUAGAGUCCGGAAGAGGAGAGUGGAAUUCCUGGUGUAGCGGUGAAAUGCGCAGAUAUCAGGAAGAACACCAAUGGCGAAAGCAGCUUUCUGGGACGGUACUGACGCUGAGACGCGAAAGCGUGGGGAGCGAACAGG